rnacentral:rRNA from 1 species
GCAUGCCUAACACAUGCAAGUCGAACGGUAACAGGACGCUGUGAUCCCUUCGGGGUGAACUUGUCGCUGACGAGUGGCGGACGGGUGAGUAAUGCUUGGGAAUCUGCCCAGUAGUGGGGGACAACACGAGGAAACUCGUGCUAAUACCGCAUACGUCCUACGGGAGAAAGUGGGGGAUCUUCGGACCUCACGCUAUUGGAUGAGCCCAAGUCGGAUUAGCUUGAUGGUGGGGUAACGGCUCACCAUGGCGACGAUCCGUAGCUGGUCUGAGAGGACGAUCAGCCACACUGGGACUGAGACACGGCC